rnacentral:rRNA from 1 species
UACGGGGGGGGCAAGCGUUGUUCGGAUUCAUUGGGCGUAAAGGGUGCGUAGGUGGCGUGGUAAGUCGGGUGUGAAAUUUCGGAGCUUAACUCCGAAACUGCAUUCGAUACUGCUGUGCUUGAGGACUGGAGAGGAGACUGGAAUUUACGGUGUAGCAGUGAAAUGCGUAGAGAUCGUAAGGAAGACCAGUGGCGAAGGCGGGUCUCUGGACAGUUCCUGACACUGAGGCACGAAGGCCAGGGGAGCAAACGGG